CACCCUAAUAUUGGGCGCCUCUGUCUACUAGCAAUUCGAAUCUGUAGCAGCGAUGUCAAGCAUUCGGUGAACUCAAACAUCCAUGUAGGUAAUUGAUUCUGAAAUGUUUAGUUUAACCCUAAUUUAUCUAAUGUCAGCUUAGGUUAUGAUUCUUUAUCAUCAUUGUUAUUAAGUUAGAAAUGAGUGAAAUUGGAAAUGAUGCUGCUGCUGUUGAAAUGGAUUUCACUCUAGAUCGUGGUGUUCAUGUGUUUGGUUCUUAUUGUAAUGGUUAUUACUUAUGGUUUUGUUAUAAUGAUUGUGAUACGAGGUUUCACUGUCUUUGGAACCCAUCCCCUAAAUAAUACAGCAGACAUUCAUCGAAGUGGUGUUCACACAUAGCAUGAAUUUUGAAGAUGACGGUUUGUCAUAAAGAAACAUCUUAGGAACGAAGAUGUAAUCCGUGACAUUACCAUCAGUUACCCCGGGAAAUAUUUGUGCAAAUUGUGCAAAUUGUAGGUUUAUUUGGAAUGGGUGGGGUGGGAAACAUUAGGUUUUGAUGAAUCUCAACAAUGAGUUAGUUGGAAGUAAAAAUGAAGGUGGUUUAUUUUUUACAUUCGGAUGUGGUCUCGAAAGAUCUUGAUUAUUCAAAGAUUUGAAAUAAAUGCCACAUGAUCCUUCACCUUCUUAUCUUUUUCCACAAUGUUGCAAGAAUGGACAAAGGUGACAGCUCCCAACUCCCUGAGUUCUUAUCUCUAGGGCUUCAGAUGAUCAGUGAAGAAGAGCCACUGGCUAACUCAAACAUAUCAGGGGAUGCUAUGAGCAAUUCAAAUACAGAUGACAUGAUGCCUAAUUCAUGUACAAUGGAACCCUUGGCCAAUUCAGAUACGAAGGAACUCGUUGUUGCUUGUCCUAUCAGGAGUUUUGAGAAAAUGAGCCAUCCAGAAGAAGAACAAACUGAUGCAGGGGAUGAAUUGACUAGUACUGGUAGCUUUGCAACUGAGAAGAAUUCGGCAAGCUUGAGAGAUGAGGAUACCUUGUUUGAACAUAAAGCAGAGCCUGUCCAUGUACCUCGAUCAGUUGCAUUAACUAUAACGGCCAAAGAAGGCCUUCCGUCAGUGUUCAAGAGCAGCAACAAUGUCAAAAGAACAGCAGCCGAGAGAAAAAGUAAUAGCCAGGUGAUCACUUGUAUUCUGAUCUCGUGGUAAAUACUGCCUUUUUUUAAGGAGAAAGCUGUAUUCAUUACUAGAUCAGAAUGCAUGUGUUCGAAAAUGGAAGAUGGUAAUAAACCAUAGUUGAUUGUUUUGACACCGAAGAGACUGUAAUCUAGUCCAACAAAAGGUCGAGCAAGAAGCUCUGAGUUGACAUCAAAAUGUAUCUGAGGUCGCCUUAAAAUUUAAGAAAGAAUGUCAAAUUGAGCGCUCAUUCAAAUUGGUUGAACUGUUGGUAGCACAAAGACUGAAAAGUCGGAUCAGGAAUGCUGCAAACUGUGCUCUUUUAUUAGUUCGUCAGUUGCACUCUAUCUUUCCAAUAAUCGGCUUCAGUCAGUUGUCAUCCUCAACGAUGCUUAAUUCCGUCGGAAUAGUAAUUUUGGUUUUUCGAAGAACAUUAAGCUGCUCGUUUUGGUGUAAUUUGAACACAAGGUUACAACCAACUUUGGCAACAAAAGCAUGUCAUAUGUAGUCUUGCUACAAGAAGAUAUCUGCGGAAGAGAUAUUGUGGUUACACGCAUCGCGGCUUAUGCAGUUUGGAGCUCGAGAGUGCAGAAUGCUUUAACCAUCACAAACCAUAUUUGGGUUACUUAAAUUUCAUCCCCAAACAGGUGGCUGUGUUCGGCUGGUAGACUUUUUUCACUGAAGUUCCUGAUUUUUGUAUGUUCAAAAUAAAUUUGAAAGUUUCGUGCAAUACAAAAUGCAGUAGUUUGACAUAGAAGCUUUUGUGUUGUCUGGGCUACCUAACUACUAAUCGACCAGUUAAAGCAAUCCUCAUUGGUCAUCUGUUUAUAUAAAUGUAACGUGUGGUACUACUAAUCUAUAUGUUCUUUAGUCUUAACUAUGUUCGACCUACCAUCAUGCAAGUCAUAAAUAUUAUGUUUUCCUCGUUAAGAUCUUGUUAUUUUGGUUAUGAUCUAGAUAUGUUCUUUUCUUUCCUGUCUGGGUUCCAUUGCAGAUAACUGAACUACGUUUAUCUGUUACGUUUGAUUGUUCUAUCUUCAGCUCCUUGUUUGCACUGAUGUGUACUGAAACAGCAAUUCAAGAAUGUUUUUGAAAA